GUGGUUUAAUUCGAAGCAACGCGAAGAACCUUACCUGGGCUUGACAUCCCGGGAAUCCCUUGGAAACAGGGAGUGCCCUUCGGGGAACCUGGAGACAGGUGCUGCAUUGGCUGUCGUCAGCUCGUGUCGUGAGAUGUAGGGUUAAGUCCCGCAACGAGCGCAACCCUUGCUUUAAUUGCCAUCAUUGAGUUGGGCACUUUAAAGAGACUGCCGGUGUUAAACCGGAGGAAGGUGGGAUGACGUCAAGUCCUCAUGGCCUUUAUGUCUAGGGCUACACACGUGCUACAAUGGGUGGUACAAAGAGCAGCUAACUCGCGAGAGUAUGCAAAUCUCAAAAAGCCAUCCUCAGUUCGGAUUGGAGUCUGCAACUCGACUCCAUGAAGUUGGAAUCGCUAGUAAUCGCGGAUCAGCAUGCCGCGGUGAAUACGUUCCCGGGCCUU
rnacentral:rRNA from 1 species